GGUGGGCGUGGUGGCGCACACCUGUAAUCUCAGCUUCUCAGGAGGCUGAGGCAGGAGGAUUGAAAGUUUGAGGCCAGGCUUAGCAAUUGAGCGAGACCCUGUCUCAA
rnacentral:sRNA from 1 species